CCUACGGGUGGCAGCAGUGAGGAAUAUUGGUCAAUGGUCGGGAGACUGAACCAGCCAAGCCGCGUGAGGGAUGAAGGUACAGAGUAUCGUAAACCUCUUUUGUCAGGGAACAAAGGCGGGGACGCGUCCCCGGAUGAGUGUACCUGAAGAACAAGCAUCGGCUAACUCCGUGCCAGCAGCCGCGGUAAUACGGAGGAUGCUAGCGUUAUCCGGAUUUAUUGGGUUUAAGGGGUGCGCAGGUGGUCUGUUAAGUCAGCGGUCAAAGCCCGGGGCUCAACCCCGGCCCGCCGUUGAAACUGGCAGGCUCGAGUGGGAGAGAGGUAUGCGGAAUGCGGGGUGUAGCGGUGAAAUGCAUAGAUAUCGCGCAGAACUCCGAUUGCGAAGGCAGCAUGCCGGCUCCAAACUGACGCUGAGGCACGAAAGCGUGGGUAUCGAACAGGAUUAGAUACCCGUGUAGUC
rnacentral:rRNA from 1 species